rnacentral:rRNA from 1 species
UUUAAUGGCCGCGGUAUAUUGACCGUGCAAAGGUAGCAUAAUCAUUAGUUUAUUAAUUGUUAGCUUGAAUGAAUGGUUUUACGAAAUAUUAGCUGUCUCAUUUUUAUUGUUAGAAUUUAAAUUUUGAGUUAAAAGGCUUAAAUUUCUUUAAAGGACGAGAAGACCCUAUAGAUCUUCAUUUUUGUAAUUAUAUAUUUUUUUAGAUUAUUAUUAUUUUAUGAAUUUUUAGUUGGGGUGACGUUAGGAUAUAAUUAACUCCUUUUUUUAUUUUUCAUUUGUUUAUGUUUAAUUGACCUUUUAUUAUUGUUUAUAAGAUAAAGAUACCUUAGGGAUAACAGCGUAAUUUUUAUUGAGAGUUCAUAUUGACAUAGAAGAUUGCGACCUCGAUGUUGAAUUAAGAUUAUUAUUUGGUGUAGAAGCUUAAUUAUAAGGUCUGUUCGACCUUUAAAAUCUUACAUGAUCUGAGUUCAAA